CAAGCCUGAGCUGAAACAGGGCAAGGCAUCGCCUCACCCGGGAAGCACAAGAGAUGCCAAAUGAAAGUUAAAGAACCCAAGUGUUUCCAAGAUGAGAGAGGGGAGCCUCCCGAGGGCUGUAUGAAGUCAAAGGAAAGAUUAUGGAGGUAAGGUGAGGUGGGGGAAUGUGUCCUGACCUGAGAACUGAUUAACAGGGGUGGUGAAUAUUUACUUUUGGCAGUAAGAGAAGGAGAUGUAAUUUGUAAAGGGCAGACAGAGGCCUUCCAAAGAGCCAACAAUGUUCUAAUUUUUGAAUGAGGUGUUAGUCACAUGAGUAUUCUUUUUAUGAUAUCUCAGUAGGCUAUUCAUUUGUUUUAUUACAUUUUCUGUAUGUGUUAAGUUUCAC
rnacentral:lncRNA from 1 species